rnacentral:rRNA from 1 species
CAGGCUUAACACAUGCAAGUCGAGGGGCAGCAUUUCAGUUUGCUUGCAAACUGGAGAUGGCGACCGGCGCACGGGUGAGUAACACGUAUCCAACCUGCCGAUAACUCGGGGAUAGCCUUUCGAAAGAAAGAUUAAUACCCGAUGGUAUAAUCAGACCGCAUGGUCUUGUUAUUAAAGAAUUUCGGUUAUCGAUGGGGAUGCGUUCCAUUAGGCAGUUGGUGAGGUAACGGCUCACCAAACCUUCGAUGGAUAGGGGUUCUGAGAGGAAGGUCCCCCACAUUGGAACUGAGACACGGUCCAAACUCCUACGGGAGGCAGCAGUGAGGAAUAUUGGUCAAUGGGCGCAGGCCUGAACCAGCCAAGUAGCGUGAAGGAUGACUGCCCUAUGGGUUGUAAACUUCUUUUAUAUGGGAAUAAAGUUUUCCACGUGUGGAAUUUUGUAUGUACCAUAUGAAUAAGGAUCGGCUAACUCCGUGCCAGCAGCCGCGGUAAUACGGAGGAUCCGAGCGUUAUCCGGAUUUAUUGGGUUUAAAGGGAGCGUAGGUGGACAGUUAAGUCAGUUGUGAAAGUUUGCGGCUCAACCGUAAAAUUGCAGUUGAUACUGGCUGUCUUGAGUACAGUAGAGGUGGGCGGAAUUCGUGGUGUAGCGGUGAAAUGCUUAGAUAUCACGAAGAACUCCGAUUGCGAAGGCAGCUCACUGGACUGCAACUGACACUGAUGCUCGAAAGUGUGGGUAUCAAACAGGAUUAGAUACCCUGGUAGUCCACACAGUAAACGAUGAAUACUCGCUGUUUGCGAUAUACAGUAAGCGGCCAAGCGAAAGCAUUAAGUAUUCCACCUGGGGAGUACGCCGGCAACGGUGAAACUCAAAGGAAUUGACGGGGGCCCGCACAAGCGGAGGAACAUGUGGUUUAAUUCGAUGAUACGCGAGGAACCUUACCCGGGCUUAAAUUGCAUUUGAAUAUAUUGGAAACAGUAUAGCCGUAAGGCAAAUGUGAAGGUGCUGCAUGGUUGUCGUCAGCUCGUGCCGUGAGGUGUCGGCUUAAGUGCCAUAACGAGCGCAACCCUUAUCUUUAGUUACUAACAGGUCAUGCUGAGGACUCUAGAGAGACUGCCGUCGUAAGAUGUGAGGAAGGUGGGGAUGACGUCAAAUCAGCACGGCCCUUACGUCCGGGGCUACACACGUGUUACAAUGGGGGGUACAGAAGGCAGCUACCUGGUGACAGGAUGCUAAUCCCAAAAGCCUCUCUCAGUUCGGAUCGAAGUCUGCAACCCGACUUCGUGAAGCUGGAUUCGCUAGUAAUCGCGCAUCAGCCAUGGCGCGGUGAAUACGUUCCCGGGCCUUGUACACACCGCCCGUCAAGCCAUGAAAGCCGGGGGUACCUGAAGUACGUAACCGCAAGGAGCGUCCUAGGGUAAAACUGGUAAUUGGGGCUAAG